rnacentral:rRNA from 1 species
UACGUAGGGGGCAAGCGUUAUCCGGAUUUACUGGGUGUAAAGGGAGCGUAGGCGGCCGAGCAAGUCAGAAGUGAAAGCCCGGGGCUCAACCCCGGGACGGCUUUUGAAACUGCCCUGCUUGAUUUCAGGAGAGGUAAGCGGAAUUCCUAGUGUAGCGGUGAAAUGCGUAGAUAUUAGGAGGAACACCAGUGGCGAAGGCGGCUUACUGGACUGACAAUGACGCUGAGGCUCGAAAGCGUGGGGAGCAAACAGG